CGUAAAGCGCAUGCAGGUGGUUUGUUAAGUUCAGAUGUGAAAGACCCGGGGCGUCAACCUCCGGAAUUGCAUUUGUAAACUAGGCAAACUAGAGUACUGUAGAGGGGGGUAGGAAUUUCAGGUGUAGCGGUGAAAUAGCGUAGAGAUCUGAAGGAAUACCGGUGGCGAAGGCGGCCCCCUCGGACAGAUACUGACACUCAGAUGCGAAAGCGUGGGGAGCAAACAGGAUUAGAUACCCUGGUAG
rnacentral:rRNA from 1 species